ensembl:lncRNA
UAAAUGAGUAUUGUAUGCACAGUGAUUAGCUGGAGUAGGUUCCUUUGUUUAAUGCCUUUUCAUUCACUCUGUCCCUUGUACCAUGAGAAAACCUAGAGAUCAAAGGAGAACUUGAUCAACAAGUUCCCUUUUCUUCUGGUGCUUCCAUAUCAAAUACUCGGCAUCGCCAUCACCUCAGUUGUCUUCCUUCUUUCCAAGUCACUGCAUAUUUUGGAGUGGACACUACUGAGUGCAAACUAGAGCGUUGCUUGGCUUGCUUGGAGGAGCCUCCCAGGCACCAGUUCCCAUAUCUGGUUCUGACCAGCUGCACCAGGGAGCUUCUCCAGCCAGCAGAUUCUAGAUCCCAUCACCUGCAACAGGGCUUCCAGGGUCUCCUCAUUCAUGGGACGCUCUCAGGGUGAUCUCUGAUGACCUGGCUUGGCGAUCACUGUCUGGAUCCUAGACUGAAGAGGACAACACUGGCCUUAGGAUGGGCACAUCACAGCAGGAAGGGGACCACACUGGGUCAAUGUCAGGAGCUGAAAAGGACAACGAGAAAGAUCUGCUCACUGUGCUUUUAGGUGGACUUGUUUCCUCGAAGGGAGUUUUAUGGUUAUUUAAUUAAAACAUUCCACUUGGAUCAAAGGUGUUGCUUUGACUUCUCAGGCAUGAAAUACGAGGCUUGUGAGAGUGGAAAACUUGUUAAGUGCAAACAGUUUACCAGGGGCCCUAAACAAGACAAAAUAUCAUAAAUCGUAAGCCUUCGAAAUGAAGUGUCAAUGGCCGUGGAGGAACACAUUGUUCCUUUUCUGAUGAACAUUAACCCACAUCCAGCUGCAAGCCUGUGCUAUCCUAAUGAUGUUCGCCAGCAGCCACUUCUAACCACAAAGGAAAGAAUUGCAGGGGGUUCUGCUCAUUAAUACACUCUGGGGUCUGUGCUGUAUUGUCCUCUCUUGGUUGGAGGUUCAGACGCCUCAAGGCGUCCUUCUGUGUAGAAUGAGAGGACCCAGGGCUGCCCUUACGUGGGGAUGAAAUGUUUUCCUUUGUCACAGAGCCGGAGGGCUGGGUCAGCUCACUGAAACACAUCCAGAGCACAGAGAUCUCCCAGAGAAAGCGACGUAAAGACAGGAACAGAGGAGUUGUGACAGUUCUUGCCCCAGAAGUGGAGGCUGGGGAUGGUGGGUUGCAGCUAUGCCCCAAGAGAGGAGCAUAGACUUGAAGGUCCUGUUAGCUCCAAAUCCAUUCACUUCUUCAGCCAGGGUUUUGUUAACACCUACUAUGUGCUGGGCGCUGUUCUGGGCACUUGUGACACAUCAGGUUUUCGAUCCAUCUGUGGCUGCAAUGGGGCAAGGGGUCCUGUGGCAGGGAUCCAGGAAGUGCAGAGGACAGCGAGGCUGGUGCUCAGACCAAGGUGGCAGCAGUGGAGAGAGAGAGAGCUUCCAAAUGAAUUGCUGGGUCUGGAUCCAGCAGGAUUUCCUGGUGGGUGGUAUGUGUGGAAUGAGACAAAAACAGCAAACCAAACCAGAAGAGAACAAAACAAAACAAAACACCAGAGCUAGAUAAUUAGAACAGUUGACAAAGACAAUCAUAAAUAAAGCAAUUACACUCACCCUACACCAGGGAGUACUAAGGGGGCUGGAGGGGGCACCGCACCACGUGGGCAGCUCUGGGUAAUUUGCUGGGUGCCAUGGUGCUGUGGGGAGAUCCUGGGCUUUGGUAUCAGAUGGUCUUCCAUCCCUCACCCCCACUCCUGUGGUUGGUUGAAUCCAGGGAUACAGAACCGUGGGAUAAUCAGGGCCACCUGCACUUACUCUGUGAUUUUGAGGAAGUGGUUCCAUCUCCCAGAACUUCAGUUUCUAUAAUAUGGGGUGAUACAGUAAGGAUACCUCUUUGGUAGCAUUUGUGAGGAUUAAAUGGGAUAACACAUGUAAAAUGCUGGGCAGUCAGCUCUAGAAAUGCCAGUGGUCCCCGCCUCCUUCCCUUGAGGGGUGGAUGCAUAGUCCUGGCCCCGUGUUGUUUGUGGGGUUGGAGGGUGGGCAGAGGAGCUCUUUCCAGUGCCAAUGCAGGCUCAGCUGCAAAGACCUUCACCUCCAGGAGGUGGCCCCCACCUCUCCUGGAGACAAUGGGACAGCACGUGGGGUCUGAGGACCGCAGCUGGUGGCUUCUCAGUGCAAGCCAGGAUAUAAUUCUAAGACAUCUUCCCAAGCUUCCUGCUGGCAGUUCUUACUUUCUGUUGGUGGUCCAUGGUCGGAGAGGCAUAACGAAUGAUUUUUUUUAAAAAAAAAUGCAAUAUGGAGCUAUGAAAGAAAGCAUGGCACUUGUUUCUGCGGGGGUAGGAGAUUUAGGGUGGAUGGGUAGUUUAAAAGGCAGGGACCCUGUGGGCUCCUGGGCCUGGUAAGAUCCAUAACCUCUGAGGAGUCAGGGGAGGGCCAGAGUUCUGCCCAGUCACCUGGAUUCAUGGCUCCAGGGCAGCCUUUGAAUUGGCCGAUUGCUGACUGUGAACUAAUGGCAGGGAAAGCAAAUGAAAUAAUCAUGUGUGAGUCCGACAUUCCCACCAAUCUUCAGAUCUGGCCUGGCUCAUUCCAUCCUCAUUUGUUUCUUGUUCCCCUUCUGUAUUAGUCCGCUUGGCCACCAUGACAAGAUUCCACUGACUGAGCAGCUUAAACAACAGAAAUUAAGUGUCUCCUAGGUCUGGGGGCUGGAAGUCUGAGAUCUAGGUUUCCUUGGAGGCCUCUCUGCUUGCCUUGUGGGUGGCCACCCUCUUGUUGAUGCUUCCCGUGGUCACCCUGGUGCAUGUACCCUGGUGUCUCCUCCUCUUCCUAUAAGGGCACCAGUCAUAUAGCACUAGGGCCCCAUCCGAAUGGCCUCAUUUUAACUUAAUCACUUCUUUAAAGACCUGUUCUCCAAAUAGGGGUACAUUCUGAAGUUCUGUGGGGUAGGGACAUCAACAUAUGAAUUUUAAGGGGACACGUUUCAGCCUAUAACUCUCCCUUUGGCUAUAUUUCCUUGGAGUUUUAAAUUUUUGGCCAUGAUCUGGACUAGACUCCCUAUCUAGUCCAGAUCACGUCCUAGUCAUGGAAAAUGCCGGGCAGUCAACUCUAGAAAUACCAGUGAUCCCCGCAUUACAUUUACUAGACUCUAGUGUUUCCUGUUUCCAUCUCCAUUUCAGUCCUGACCUAACAGGCCUUAAAGCAGUAUCUUGUCUGAGGACCUUGAACCUGACUCCUCGCCCCUUCCGAAUGUCCUGGUGACGUCCAUCCUAAUACCUGUCCCCACAGGCUCUUGGGCCAGAAGCGACUCAAGAAACUUUUCCACCUUCUUCCUUCCAGAAACCCUGACCCAAAUUUUGCUGGUCAUGUGUCACUCGUAAGUUUCAAUAUCCACAUUUUUAAAAGUUUGCAUUCAUUGGAACUUGUAUGCACUUUCAGAUGUUGUACCAGCUGCUGCCCCAUACAUUACAUUACUGUACCUGGUUCAGGUAUGAUUGCAUCCUGGGAGGCUGAUGGAAUUUGGACCUGCACAUUUUAUUUCUUUCUUCUUUCUUUUUUCUUUGUAGGACCACGCCUGCGACAUAUGGACGUUCCCAGGCUAGGGGUCUAAUUGGAGCAGCAGCUGCCGGCCUAUACCAUGGGCCACAUCAAUGCAGGAUCCGGGCAGCAUCUGUGACCCAUACCAUAGCUUGAGGAAAAGCCAGAUUCUUAACCCACUGAGCAAGGCCAGGGAUCGAACCCACAUCCUCAUGGAUAUUAGUCAGGGUCUUAACCCUCUGAGCUACAAUAGGAACUCCAGACCUGUACAUUUUAAAAGUGGCAGCCAGGAUAUAAUUCUGAGACAUAGUCCCGGGUUCUCACAAAAAAAUCUAUUAGGAAGCAAAAUGCCAAUAUUUGAAUGUUUUUAUUGAUAUGUUUGCUGGGUUCAUUCACAUUUCAGUGGACAGUUUAUCUUUAGUCAUGAGGACUGGCUGGAGGGAUUCAGGAGAAAAUCAGGAAGACAGAAAUUUCUACCGGUUGGCAGGAUGCAUAGGAAGAGCCCACAAUGUAAUUAUGAGAACAUUCAGGAACCUCUUCCUGUGAUGGCUGGUUUACCGUGUCACUCCUGCUCUAGGCUCUGUUUUACGAUCCUUGAUCCUUAGUGACUUUCUCCCUGCUUCCACAGUCUCUGCAGCUCUUCUGGAAAACUGAGCCUCCCCUGGGGGUUCUGAGUCCAAACUCCUGAGAGAGGCUGGGAUGGGCACAGCCUUAUUUGGUAAAAUUUUCACACCAGCCUUGAGGGUGGGGACCAGGUCCUCAGCUGCUUGUGGUGACAGCUGCAUUCAUACGGCGUCCUGGGCAGUCUCAGCAGGGGACAGGGUGCCUGGCCCCUCUGGUGUAAUUGACCAAAGUCCCCUGGGGACUAAGUACUGUGGGUAGAGCAUCUGAGUGGACCACAGAAUGUCAUUGGCUUGCCUCUGCCAUGGGCUUUUUCUGUGACAAGCCGUUGUUUCUUCAUCUCCAAAUAGAGGAGUAGGGAGAAAUGUCUCACCUUGACUUAGGAGCCAUGUAAUGAUUAGGUAGAAAGACAGAAAAGCAGCAGGUAUUCUCUAAUUGCAGAACAGCCCCAAUAUUAGAAACUCAGCCAAUGCAACUAAUCAAUUCAGCAGAAGACACCAUUAGUACUUAGCUACAAGGCUACCAGUGAGAAAACAAGCUGGUGGUUUUUAUUGUAUCAUCUCUGAACUGCUGAUGCUCUUCCUGCUGGUAGGAGCCUGGGCCGGAGUCCUGCAGAAUGACUUUGACAAGCCUGGUUCUUUGGGAGUUGGGAGGGAGAGCACAGCUGGGGGCAGCCUCUGCAGCGAAUAACCAUAAAAUCCACCUUGAACAGCCGUGCAAAGUUGCAACAGAGAUAAGGUGGUGGCAAUUGGCUUCGGCUUGCUCAGAAAAGAUAAAGAGAAGGAGGCUUCCAUCCUAGGAGGCUGAGCAGCAGAAAUCUCUCUUAGGAAGGUAAGUGCUAUUCCUAGCAGGUGCCACCUGAAGACCCAGCAGCCAGGCAGGAAGAAGAGUGGGCUCCAGGAAGGGGAUUGAGGCAGAAAUGCACUUGGGAACAUGCUGCAGGCUUGGCUAUCCAUGUGGCCAAGGUCAAGGGCUGUGAUGAGCCACUUACUUCGAGGAGACCAGAAGCAUGGCGUGAGGUAGGGGUGGGGUGAGCUGGGGUGGGGUCAAGGACAGAAUUCAGUCUCUAGGGGAAGAAAAUGGUCAGAACAACAGAAGCUAUCAAGACCUUAGAUAAGCAGUCCCAGAAAAGUAAGAACAGAGGAGAAAUCGAGAACCUCCAAAGUGGUCCAUCUCAGGACCUUGGGGACAUGUCCCAUGUCACUCUGGGAGGCUCAGAAGGACUCAGGUCAGGCCUGCAUGAGGGCAGCUGGGCUCUGGCCUCAGUGAGGGGACCUGGGAGGGGCGGAGGCAGCUGUGGUGGGACUUGCAUUGAGCAGUAGCUGAAGUCCAGGCCCCAUUUACAUUUUAGUGACUCAAGAGAAAUAAUGAGCAGUUAAGGGUUUGGUUUUUUUUCCUGGGGUUAAGGAUGGAACGCUCCUUCCGGGAGGAGAUGGAGGGCGGCAGGGAGAAGGAGGGUGUUAUGAAAAUGACUGGGUAUUUGUGAGCAGUUUGGCCAGCCUUGGACCAAAGAUGCUCUGGAUGGAGUCAUAGGAGGAGGGCACCCAGAAGCUGUAGAACGCAUGUGAUUAAAGCUGUCGGUCCUUUUGGUUGACCCCAAAUGAAGAAACAGAUCAGAACAGUGCAGCGUAAACUUAUAUGAACGAAGCAGAGCCCCGCAAAAUGUUUUCUUUCUUGUCGUUGGCCACUCACUUAUCAAACAUCUGUACCUUGGUCAAUAUGGGUGUCUCCAUGGGCCUGGCACAUCUGGGGAUCCGUCUCCCUGGCUGGGACAUUGGAUUGCAAACCCCGGAAGGGGCUGGGCGCGAUCCAUCACUCCGGGUUUCCAGGAAGAUUCUAUUCAGAAUAAUGUGGGCUCUUAACAGGCAAGGAAGAGUGUUAAUAAAAGUUCUUUUUACUUGAAAGGGCAGAGAAAAAAAUCCCAAUAAAGCUGAGCCCAGCUCUUAAAAAAAAAAAAAAAAAAAA